rnacentral:lncRNA from 1 species
AGCAUCUUCUCCUUUUGCUUCUCCUUCAUCGUCUGUCGUCGGAUCGCCCUCUCCUUUUGCUUCUACUUCAUCGUUCGCCGUGGGAGCAUCCUCUCCUUUUGCUUCUCCUUCAUCAUUCGCCGUGGGAGCAUCCUCUUAUUUUGCUUCUCCUUCAUCGUUCGCUGUGGGAGCAGCCUCUCCUUUUGCUUCUCCUUCAUUGAUCCCCGUGGGAGUGUCCUCCCCUUUGGCUUCUCCAUCAUCGUCUGCCAUGGGAGCGUCCUCUCCUUUUGCUUCUCCUUUAUCUCUCGCCGUGGGAGCAUCCUCUCCUUUUGCUUUUCCUUCAUCGUCCGCCGUGUGAGCGCCCUCACUUUUGCUUCUCCAGUGUCAUCCGUCGAGGGAGCACCCUCAUUUCUCCUUCUCCAGCGUCGUCCAUCGUGGGAGCGCCCUCUCCUUUUUCUUCUCCUUCAUCAUUCGCCGUGGGAGCAUCCUCUCCUUUUGCUUCUCCGUCAUCGUUCGCCGUGGGAGCAUCCUCUCCUUUUGCUUCUCCGUCAUCGUUCGCCAUGGGAGCAUCUUCUCCUUUUGCUUCACCGUCAUCAAUCGCCGUGGGAGCAUCUUCUCCUUUUGAUUUUCCUUCAUCGUCCGGCGUGGGAACGUCCUCAUUUCUCCUUCUCCAGCGUCGUCCGUCGUGGGAGCACCCUCUCCUUUUGCUUCUCCUUCAUCGUUCGCUGUGGGAGCAUCCUCUCCUUUUGCUUCUCCAUCAUCGUUCUCCGUUGGAGCAUCCUCUCCUUUUGCUUCACCGUCAUUGUUCGCCGUGGAAGCAUCUUCUCCUUUUGCUUCUCCUUCAUCGUCUGUCGUGUGAUCGCCCUCUACUUUUGCUUCUCGAUCAUCUUUUGCCGUGGGAGCAUCUUCUCCUUUUGCUUCUCCUUCAUCGUCUGUCGUGGGAGCGCCCUCUCCUUUUGCUUUCCUUCAACGUCUGCCGUGGGAGCAUCCUCUACUUUUGCUUCUCCAUCAUCGUCCGCCCUGGCAACAAGGCUCUCCACCGUCGCCCAUCGCGGGGGCGAGGCUCUCCACCGUCGCCCAUCGCGGGGGCAUGGCUCUCCUCCAUCGUCUACUGCAACUGCACCUUCUCCCCUGCCAUCUUCAGCAUUGUCAGUCACAGAAGCGUCUGUUCCAUUUUCCUCUGAAGUUUCAUCUGCCAUGAAAUUGCCCUCUUCUUUUUCCUCUCUAGCUUCACCUGCCACGAGAUUGCCCUCUCCAUUUUCCUCUCAUGCGUCAUCUGCCACGAGAUUCCCCUCUCUAUUUCUUUCUCCAGUGUCAUCUGCCACGGGAACGUCCACUCCUUCUGCUUCUCCAGAGGCAUCCAUUGUGGCAGCGCCCUCUCCUUCUGCUUCUCCAGGGUCGUCUGUUGAGGGAGCACCCUCUUCUUCUGCUUCUGAAGCAUCGUCUGACGUGGGAGCAUCCUCUCCUUUUGCUUCUCCUUCUUCGUUCGCCAUGGGAGCAUCCUCUCCUUUUGCCUUUCCUUCAUCAUCCGCCGUGGGAGCGCCCUCAUUUUUGCUUCUCCAUCGUCGUCCGUCAUGGGAGCACCCUCUCCUUUUGCUUCUCGAUCAUCGUUCGCCGUGGGAGCAUGCUCUCCUUUUGCUUCUCCUUCAUCGUUUGCCGUGGGAGCAUCCUCUCCUUUUGCUUCUCCUUCAUUGUCCGCCGUGGGAACGCACUCAUUUUUGCUUCUCCCGUGUCGUCCAUCGUUGGAGCGCCUUCUCCUUUUGCUUCUCCAUCAUCGUUCGCCGUGGGAGCAUCUUCUCCUUUUUCUUCUCCUUCAUCGUCCGUCAUGGGAGCACCCUCUCCCUUUGCUUCUCGAUCAUCAUUCGCCUUGGGAGCAUCUUCUCCUUUUGCUUCUCCUUCAUCGUCCGUCGUGGUAGCGUCCUCUCCUUUUGCUUCUCCUUCAUCGUCCGUCGUGGUAGCGUCCUCUCCUUUUGCUUCUCGAUCAUCGUCCGCCGUGGGAGCAUCCUUUCUUUUUGCUUUUCCUUCAACGUCCGCUGUGGGCGCAUCCUCUGCUUUUGCUUCUCGAUCAUCGUCAGCCGUGGCAACGAGGCUCUCCACCGUCGCCCGUCGCGGGGGCGAGGCUCUCCACCGUCGCGCAUCGCGUGA